GCGUCCGUAGCUCAGUUGGAUAGAGCGCAAGAUUCCGGAUCUUGAGGUCGCAGGUUCGACUCCUGCCGGACGCACCA
rnacentral:tRNA from 1 species